rnacentral:lncRNA from 1 species
GAUGGUUGAAGACUGGGCUCCCUGGGUCUCCACCUUUUGAUGGGAGUAGUUGCAAAGAAUUUGCAAAAAUCUUUAACACAGCAAGCACUGUGUCAGUUUGAAUCCUUCAAGAAGCCAAGAUGGGAUUAGAUAUGCAAGAGAUUUAUUGAAGGGAAAUAUCUGUGAAGGGUAAAGAGAGAGAGAAGGACUAAUCAGAGAGAGUCUUCAGACCACAAUGAAGAUCUGACAUCUGUGAAAGGAGAGUGGGAAAGGAAUACUGGGUAGUAAAAGACUCAAAUUUCAGGAGGAUCCUGGCAAAGUCUCAGCCCUGAGUAAAAGUUGCCCAUUAGAGGAGUCCCGUGGUGGGCAGAAAUGGACUGGAUCUAAUACCCCCACAGUGCUAAGUCAUUGGCUGGGAGCAUACCAAGAAAAAUGUUGCCUGGUGGAUCCGAAGGGACAACAGCUAAAGUUGUCAAUCAGCUAUGCUUUUCAGAGUAGAUCCUGUUGAACGGCAAGUGUUGGAGGCAUGGGGCAGAAGUCAACCCCAAGGCAAUGAUUUCAUCGUGCCCCAGCAUCAAAUACCACUUUGAGUUAUCCUCCCUGGGCAAUUGGAAAAGGAACGUGUAAGGAGGGAAAUAUAAUCAGAUCCUUCAUCUCUGUAUCAAGAUUUCAUUUCCGAAGAGUGAUUUUGGGGUAUUCUUGGGCUGUCCUUCUUGCUGCUCCUAGCACCGUGGAAAGAUGUGAGGAAGUGCCUUGUCGUAGACCAACGCUUCUGGUGAGAACAACUGGAACAGCUGAAUUCAAAUUUUCUUUUUAAGGAUAUCAGAAGCCCUGUCAAGAAGGUAGCUCUGACAAUCCAAAAUCCUGGAGAGAAGAGAAGCUCGUGGAGUUGGACCAACAUUCUAUGCAUUGCUUUUUGCCAGAGGGCAUUUGCUGACUCUUGGGAAGCACACACUGAUGCUGAGAAGACAGGGAGAGGUCAGCUGAGGAGGCUGAGGAGCCAGUGGAGUUUAAAAUCAUCUCAUGGGACUAAGGAGACAAAACCGGAGCUCGAGAGUGCCAAAAUAUCUAAGACUUGAGAUCCCAAGGUUAUGGAUAGAAGGGAGAUGCAAAGAAGGGAGCCUACAAUCCUGCAACAGUUUUCCCCCGGGCCAUUUCCUGCCAUAAACUGCAUAGAGCAAGAGGCUCAGAAGCCAAGAAGAUGAACGCUAUAAAGCUAAGCAGAACUGAGCUUUUAACAGCAAAAAGAGAAGUAAAAAGA